UACGUAGGGUCCGAGCGUUGUCCGGAGUUACUGGGCGUAAAGAGCGCGCAGGCGGUCGUACAAGUCGCGUGUGAAAGCCCCCGGCUCAACUGGGGAGGGUCACGCGAUACUGUUCGACUCGAAGGCAGGAGAGGGAAGUGGAAUUCCCGGUGUAGUGGUGAAAUGCGUAGAUAUCGGGAGGAACACCAGUGGCGAAGGCGACUUCCUGGCCUGUUCUUGACGCUGAGGCGCGAAAGCUAGGGUAGCAAACGGG
rnacentral:rRNA from 1 species